ACCUUUGGCAUUAGGCACCUGACCAGGCCCACAGCCAACUGUCUAGCAAAGAGAAAAGGCAUUGGAAACUCCUCUGAUGAGACUCCCAUUUGGCUUUGGCUUGAGUGUUUCCCUCAGUGGCCUGAGUACCAGGAUACCUCAUCCUUGCACGGUGAUCCUUCUGGAAAACUCCU